rnacentral:SRP_RNA from 1 species
GUGUGCUAGGCGGGGAGCCAGCGGUGCCCUGUAACCCUCAAUCCGCUACAGAGGGGCUGAAUCCCUGCAGGCGAAUAUUGAUUCUCCCUGAUGAUGAGAUAAGUGGCGUUGACGAACAGACCCGACGCAAUUGUAACCUGUAAACCUUGUCAGGUCCGGAAGGAAGCAGCAAUAAGCAGAUCUUACGAUGUGCCGCCGGUAAAUCUGUUCCGAGUUAACUACCUCAUUUUUCAGAUGAGAUAGGUAUCAACUGCAGGUGCACAC